rnacentral:lncRNA from 1 species
GUGACCAUCCUGAGAAUGGACAGGACACCUGGGGUGGGGAAGGCGGCAGAGAACCCAGACGCCAGCCUGGACACAGGCACCUGGGAUAAUCUCCUAUUCAUUGGAAAGUUCUAGUCUCUGAGGGAGGAACAGCGACUUCUGGUCCUGACCUGAGUGGAGGCUGCAGGACUCAGAAAAGCUGGAAUCAAACCUUCAGACACAUUGAGUGUGAGGCAGAGAACAAGGCCUGAGAGAAAGGUCAGCAGCCUGACCACAGCUGCUGCAGUGGUCAAAGUGGUCAAAGGAGACCCCUGAUCAGUAUUCCAGGGACUGUCUUCCCCUCCAUUUCCUCAGAGACUUCAUCCCUUAAUUGUCCUAGAGAGCAGAGGGGGCCCUCAGAGGAAACUCAGGAAAACUCAUGCCAUUCUCCAUUCAAGGGAGGGCGAUAUUCCAGUGCUGAUCCCAUUUUCCUCCCCUCCUCGUGGGAGGCCAUCCCGGGAGAUCUAUAGGAGAUGGGGAAGGCUCCCCACUGCCCCUGGUACCUGCGCGCUGCAGCGUCUCCUUCCCGUUCUCCAGGUAUCUGCGGAGCCACUCCACGCACGUGCCCUCCAGGUAGGCUCUCCGCUGCUCCGCCUCACGGGCCGCCUCCCACUUGCGCUGGGUGAUCUGAGCCGCCGUGUCCGCGGCGGUCCAGGAGCGCAGGUCCUCGUUCAGGG